rnacentral:rRNA from 1 species
AUAGCCUAACGGCUGAACCAGCAACUUGGAGGAAUGUAUAGCAAUAGCUAUUUGCACUAAAGAUUUUAGUGUAAAAUCGACUUUGUUGAAUAAAAUUCUGGAUAGAAUUAUGAUAAUGACAUUAUCUGUCCAUAAGUCUUGACCAAAUUACGUGCCAGCAGUCGCGGUAAUACGUAGAAGACAAGUGUUAUUCAUCUUUAAUAGGUUUAAAGGGUACUUAGACGGUAAAUAAAGCCUCCAAAAGGUACUAGUUUGCUAGAGUUUUAUGUGAAGGAGUUUUAAAGUACUACUGGUGUAGAGAUGAAAUUCAGUUAUACCUUACAUGGCACAGGUUAAGGCGAAAGCAUCUUUUUAUGUAAAAACUGACGUUGAAGGACGAAGGCUUUGUGUCUCGAACAGGAUUAGAUACCCUAGUAGUCUAAGCAGAAAAUGAUGAAUGUCAUAGAUUAGAUUUAAUUUGAUCUGUAAAUGAAAGUGUAAGCAUUCCACCUCAAGAGUAAUUUGGCAACAUUGGAACUGAAAUCAUUAGACCGUUUCUGAAACCAGUAGUGAAGUAUGUUGUUUAAUUUGUUAAUCCGCAAAAAACCUUACCACAAUAAUUUGAAUAGAUAUAUUUUAUCAUACAAGCGUUGCACGGCUGUCUUCAGUUAAUGUCGUGAGACUUUGGUUAGUUCCAUUAAAUUAACGUAAACCCUUACUUUAUUUUUAAAAAAAGUAGUUCACCGCUAGAUUGGAUGUGAUAAUAGGGAUCAAGACAAGUCAUCAUGACCUGAAUAUAGU